rnacentral:lncRNA from 1 species
AAAAUAAUUAGUAACCUGGGAAAUGACAUCCUGUUCACAGUAUUGCUUUGACUUACUCCAGCUUUUUUAGAAGAUGAAGGUGGUUGGAGAUCUAAAAAGAUCAUUGAGACCUUUGAUAAUUUAUGCAAAAUAUUGCUGCAAAGCAUUUGAAGACUGAGUGAAGCUGUGGAUCAUUGUUAAUGAGCCUUAUCUUGUUGCUGUACAUGGUUGUGGAAAAGGAUAUAUAUAAUAACCCUCUAAUUUACAUCACCGAGAAUGGGUUUUCCCAAAGUGACCCUGCUCUACUUGAUGACAGCCAAUGAUGGGAGUAUUUCAGGCUGAAUUUACAGGAAAUUUUAUAAGGUCACAACCUAGACUUGUCAGCAAUGCCAGUUAGCUGUUUCUUCAGCAAAGAAAGAAGGUACAAAAACAAGAAGACAACUGAUCCUAUCUACACCAGGAGAUGAAAGAGAUCUUGCAAGGGUACAUGGUUGUUCCUAUUGCAAAUGCUGUGCUUGGAGCUCACAAAUAAAGGACAAGAAAAAGAAAAGUAGGUUGCUGGCUUUUAUGCUUUGUUGUUUUGGACUGUGGCCUAUCCUUGAAGAAUCCAGCUGCAGUGUGGUGGUGAUCUGUUCCAAGGAGCUGAAGCAUUUGUGA